UCUCCUGUAGCUCAAUGGUAAGAGCGUCCGACCGGUGUGCGGAAGGUCAUAAGUUCGACUCCUGUUGGGAGAA
rnacentral:tRNA from 1 species